UGGGCGUAAGCGCGCGCAGGUGGUUUCUUAAGUCUGAUGUGAAAGCCCACGGCUCAACCGUGGAGGGUCAUUGGAAACUGGGAGACUUGAGUGCAGAAGAGGAAAGUGGAAUUCCAUGUGUAGCGGUGAAAUGCGUAGAGAUAUGGAGGAACACCAGUGGCGAAGGCGACUUUCUGGUCUGUAACUGACACUGAGGCGCGAAAGCGUGGGGAGCAAACAGGAUUAGAUACCCUGGUAGUCCACGCCGUAAACGAUGAGUGCUAAGUGUUAGAGGGUUUCCGCCCUUUACUGCUGAAGUUAACGCAUU
rnacentral:rRNA from 1 species